UGGGGAAUUUUCCGCAAUGGGCGCAAGCCUGACGGAGCAAUACCGCGUGCGGGAGGAAGGCCUUUGGGUCGUAAACCGCUUUUAACAGGGAAGAAGCUCUGACGGUACCUGUUGAAUAAGCCUCGGCUAACUCCGUGCCAGCAGCCGCGGUAAGACGGAGGAGGCAAGCGUUAUCCGGAAUUAUUGGGCGUAAAGCGUCCGCAGGUGGCAUUACAAGUCUGUUGUUAAAUCCCAGGGCUCAACUCUGGAGCAGCGAUGGAAACUGUAGUGCUAGAGUACGGUAGGGGUAGAGGGAAUUCCCAGUGUAGCGGUGAAAUGCGUAGAUAUUGGGAAGAACACCAGUGGCGAAGGCGCUCUACUGGACCGUAACUGACACUCAUGGACGAAAGCUAGGGGAGCG
rnacentral:rRNA from 1 species